GACGGCGCGGUCGUCCUAACUUUGCAUUGGGACUUGCCUUUUACCAGCUCCAACAAUGGGACGCCGCAUUAAGCCGCUUACUCAAUAUUUGGAAACCCCUAUAAUUAUGCGAGC
rnacentral:snRNA from 1 species